rnacentral:rRNA from 1 species
UACAGAGGGUGCGAGCGUUGUCCGGAAUCACUGGGCGUAAAGGGCGCGUAGGCGGCCGGGUAAGUAGGGGGUGAAAUCUUGCGGCUCAACUGCAAGGCUGCCUCCUAAACUGUCAGGCUUGAGCACAGUAGAGGCAGGUGGAAUUCCCGGUGUAGCGGUGGAAUGCGUAGAGAUCGGGAAGAACAUCGGUGGCGAAGGCGGCCUGCUGGGCUGUUGCUGACGCUGAGGCGCGACAGCGUGGGGAGCAAACAGG